rnacentral:tRNA from 1 species
CGGGGUGUAGCUCAGUUGGCUAGAGCGCUACGUUUGGGACGUAGAAGUCGGAGGUUCAAGUCCCCCCACCCCGA